rnacentral:rRNA from 1 species
UGGGGAAUUUGGACGAAUUGGGCGAAAGCCUGAUCCAGCAAUGCCGCGUGUGUGAAGAAGGCCUUCGGGUUGUAAAGCACUUUUGUCCGGAAAGAAAUCCUUGGCUCUAAUACAGUCGGGGGAUGACGGUACCGGAAGAAUAAGCACCGGCUAACUACGUGCCAGCAGCCGCGGUAAUACGUAGGGUGCAAGCGUUAAUCGGAAUUACUGGGCGUAAAGCGUGCGCAGGCGGUUUGCUAAGACCGAUGUGAAAUCCCCGGGCUCAACCUGGGAACUGCAUUGGUGACUGGCAGGCUAGAGUAUGGCAGAGGGGGGUAGAAUUCCACGUGUAGCAGUGAAAUGCGUAGAGAUGUGGAGGAAUACCGAUGGCGAAGGCAGCCCCU